GCAGAGCCAGGAGCCCCACACAGAAGCCCUGAUCAAUCCAAGACCAUCAUGAAGACCUCAAAAAGCCUGCCUAUGUUAAGAGAUAUGUCUUGUAGAGAGGCAUCCACAUGCAAGUUUCUCAGAGUUUCCUUGAGUAGCUUUACCUGCCAGCCCACAAAUUGCCCCAUAUGCAAAUGAUUCCACAUCUAUUUCUCAGCCCUAGAGAAGCAGUUUGCAUUCAAUGUAUCUGCAUUUGUUUAUACUUUUGUAUGUGUUGUCCUUUUUUCUAACAGAUCCAGAUUCAAUAUUUCCUGAAUGCCAGUUCUGUGACAGCACACUGUAUUAGGUGUUUUCUCAUCUCCCCUCUCCUUAUCUUCACAAUCCCAUGAAGGAAGCAUCGUUUAUUAUUGUUGUUGUUCUUGUUUUCCAGGUGUGGAAACUGAGUUUCAAAGGGUCCCUGAAGGCCGAGGGACUCAUCAGAACAGUGUUGCCUGCGGCCACUACUAAGAAAUGCUGCAGCGGGGAUGGAAACUCCUUCCUACAGAGGAACGGCUCCCUUAACGUCCUGGAGGCCUCCCUGCUUUUCCGUCUUCACCCAAGGCACCUACCACUCACUGCUCCCACCAAUAACCAGGAUACACAACUGCCGCCUUUUAAAAUUUCUUCAUAA
ensembl:lncRNA